CAGCCGCGGUAAUACGGAGGAUCCGAGCGUUAUCCGGAUUUAUUGGGUUUAAAGGGAGCGUAGAUGGAUGUUUAAGUCAGUUGUGAUAGUUUGCGGCUCAACCGUAAAAUUGCAGUUGAUACUGGAUAUCUUGAGUGCAGUUGAGGCAGGCAGAAUUCGUGGUGUAGCGGUGAAAUGCUUAGAUAUCACGAAGAACUCCGAUUGCGAAGGCAGCCUGCUAAGCUGCAACUGACAUUGAGGCUCGAAAGUGUGGGUAUCAAACAGGAUUAGAUACCCUGGUAGUCCACACGGUAAACGAUGAAUACUCGCUGUUUGCGAUAUACAGCAAGCGGCCAAGCGAAAGCGUUAAGUAUUCCACCUGGGGAGU
rnacentral:rRNA from 1 species